UUAAAUUGAAGAGUUUGAUCAUGGCUCAGAUUGAACGCUGGCGGCAGGCCUAACACAUGCAAGUCGAACGGUAACAGGAAGCAGCUUGCUGCUUUGCUGACGAGUGGCGGACGGGUGAGUAAUGUCUGGGAAACUGCCUGAUGGAGGGGGAUAACUACUGGAAACGGUAGCUAAUACCGCAUAACGUCGCAAGACCAAAGAGGGGGACCUUCGGGCCUCUUGCCAUCGGAUGUGCCCAGAUGGGAUUAGCUAGUAGGUGGGGUAACGGCUCACCUAGGCGACGAUCCCUAGCUGGUCUGAGAGGAUGACCAGCCACACUGGAACUGAGACACGGUCCAGACUCCUACGGGAGGCAGCAGUGGGGA
rnacentral:rRNA from 1 species